rnacentral:rRNA from 1 species
AACGAACAUUGGCGGCAGGCCUAACACAUGCAAGUCGAGCGAGGCUUCGAGCCGAGCGGCAGACGGGUGCGUACAACAUAGGAACCUUCCUUUCGCUGGGGAUAACAGUCAGAAAUGACUGCUAAUACCGCAUACGACCGAGGCGCAAGCCCGGUGAAAGGUUUAGCGGCGAAAGAUGGGCCUAUGCCUGAUUAGCUAGUUGGUGAGGUAACGGCUCACCAAGGCAAUGAUCAGUAGCUGGUCUGAGAGGAUGAUCAGCCACACUGGAACUGAGACACGGUCCAGACUCCUACGGGAGGCAGCAGUGGGGAAUAUUGGACAAUGGGCGAAAGCCUGAUCCAGCCAUGCCGCGUGAGUGAUGAAGGCCUUCGGGUUGUAAAGCUCUUUAGUUGGGGAAGAUAAUGACGGUACCCAAAGAAUAAGUCACGGCAAACUCUGUGCCAGCCGCCGCUGUAA